rnacentral:rRNA from 1 species
UACGAAGGGUGCAAGCGUUACUCGGAAUUACUGGGCGUAAAGCGCGCGUAGGUGGAUGAUUAAGUCAGAUGUGAAAGCCCAGGGCUUAACCUUGGAACUGCAUUUGAUACUGGUCAUCUUGAGUACGGUAGAGGGAGGUGGAAUUUCAGGUGUAGCGGUGAAAUGCGUAGAUAUCUGAAGGAACAUCAGUGGCGAAGGCGACCUCCUGGACUGAUACUGACACUGAGGUGCGAAAGCGUGGGGAGCAAACAGG